rnacentral:rRNA from 1 species
GGGUUCGCAUUCCUAANUUNGUAGAGGGAUGAUUUGGGGGNAGCCCGCCCUGUCUAAAGUUUCCCUGGAANCAGGACGUCAUAGAGGGUGAGAAUUCCCCGUAUGUGACAGGAAAUGGCANCCCUAUGUAAAUCUCCUUCGACGAGUCGAGUUGUUUGGGAAUGCAGCUCUAAAUGGGAGGUAAAUUUCUUCUAAAGCUAAAUAUUGGCGAGAGACCGAUAGCGCACAAGUAGAGUGAUCGAAAGAUGAAAAGCACUUUGGAAAGAGAGUUAAAAAGCACGUGAAAUUGUUGAAAGGGAAGCGCUUGCAAUCAGACUUGUUUAAACUGUUCGGCCGGUCUUCUGACCGGUUUACUCAGUUUGGACAGGCCAGCAUCAGUUUCGGCGGCCGGAUAAAGGCUCUGGGAAUGUGGCCUCCACUUCGGUGGAGGUGUUAUAGCCCAGGGUGUAAUACGGCCAGCCGGGACUGAGGUCCGCGCNUCGGCUA